GUUCUUUCUUGGGAGGCCCAUAAAGAAAACUGCAAAGAUACAGAGAAGAUCAUCAUAGCUCGGGACAAAGAUAACACCAAAUUUGUGAAGCAUUCCACGAGCUU
rnacentral:snRNA from 1 species